rnacentral:rRNA from 1 species
AACGAACGCUGGCGGCAUGCCUAACACAUGCAAGUCGAACGAGACCUUCGGGUCUAGUGGCGCACGGGUGCGUAACGCGUGGGAACCUGCCCUUAGGUUCGGAAUAACUCCCCGAAAGGGGUGCUAAUACCGGAUAAUGUCUUCGGACCAAAGAUUUAUCGCCUUUGGAUGGGCCCGCGUUGGAUUAGCUGGUUGGUAGGGUAAAAGCCUACCAAGGGCACGAUCCAUAGCUGGUCUGAGAGGAUGAUCAGCCACACUGGGACUGAGACACGGCCCAGACCCCUACGGGAGGCAGCAGUGGGGAAUAUUGGACAAUGGGCGAAAGUCUGAUCCAGCAAUGCCGGGUGAGUGAUGAAGGCCUUAGGGUUGUAAAGCUCUUUUACCCGGGAUGAUAAUGACAGUACCGGGAGAAUAAGCUCCGGCUAACUCCGUG